AGUUCUUUGUCGUUAAUUUUAAAAAUAAUAUCAAAAAACUCUUUAACAGAUAUUAAAGUAACAUCUCCUGCCUUUUGUUGGUUGUACAAAAUUUCAAGUUUAGGUGAAUAAUCUCUAUCAAAUUGUUCUCUCAAUUUCUGUUCUAAUAUCUCUUCUGAGGUCAAAGAAGAACAAAACCUUGACAAAACUUUCCAAUCCUAGCAAUCUUACUCAUUUCUCAAUGUUUAGGGCGAAUGUGUGAACUCGCAUUCUUUGCUAUAAAAAUAUGAACUUCUGAUCUCCUUUUUCCCCUCGGUGGGACAUACACAUAAAUGGAAUCGUGUGAAGCUUGUCUCCAAUAUAGAGGGAUUUUUCUCCAAGAAUUGUACAAAUAGCUUACUAGAUACAGAUGUGGAAGGAUUUUCAAAACUGGAGAUGCCCAACUGAUAAGGUUAAAGCCAUUCUUGGGGGAAAUCUGUGUUUCUGGUCUCUGCUGCUGUUGCAUUAUGCAGCUAGGUUUUCAUCUCCCGAAUUAGUUAAGUUAUUCCUUCGCAAUGGAGCUCAAACUGAUGUCCCAUUUGCUAGAAAAGUUUGGUGGGACAAAGGAAUGCUCCCACUCGAUUCAGCACUUUAUGCUGCGAGGGAGGCGGUGACCGUGUAUCAACGAAAGUCUCUUUUCAAGUGGAUAGUAUCACUUUUUCUACCAUCUUUGAAACAGUCAUUGGCUGUUAAUAAAUUGCUCAUGGAGUCAUCCAACAACAUUGAAGAGUUUGCUUACCAUUAUGCCAUGGAAGGAAAGCUCGUUGAGUUGGCUGUCUUGCUGCUCGCGAAAAAGUUUUGAAUGGAAGAAUGAUGAUCCCUCAAUGCAUUAGGAAUCAAAUUCUGUCACUGAUUGAUGAGGAGGUCAAAUUAAUGCGAGAAUGUAAACAGAGAGAAUUAACUCAGGUUCAUCAGAAGAUGAUGGGUAUGAGUUCGACAGUUCUGUUGCUUGAAGUUUUUGAGAGAGCUGGUCAUACUAUUGGAGAAUAUUUGCAGUCGCAACAGCCUGAUAAAGCAACACCUUGUGGUGUUUGGUCGUUGCCCAUGACCUCCGCUUUUUGCCGAACCCAUGCUUAUCUGCUAUGGAGACUAAUCAAGUCCCAAAUUUCAUCUUUGGUGGUACAAGUUUUGAUGCUCAAGUAAAGAAGGGAACUGAAGCAAGGGAGCAGAAUAUGCCCAAAUUUCUGUCAAGGGAGAAGUUAGCGUAUAUUGCAAUGCUGGUCAAGAGGGGUCUAAGAAGUUCAUGGUUCUUGUAGAGUGCCAGUUUUUCGAGGGAGGAUUUUGGUGCAAUUAGAGCAAAGCAAGCUGAAGAAGUUGAAAAUUCUUCUUACCAAGUGGGUGCAAAUUAUGAAGACAGCUCAAGUUCGAAAGAAGACUACCCCAAAGGCUCUUUAUUGCAUUCACAUUGAAGAGCUUGUCUGCUGGAGGUUCUGCCGAGCAGAAGGAUGGUCAUGAGUCAAUCAAUGAAAAUAUGAAGAGGCUGAAGAGACGGUGUUGGAGUGUGUAAAUGGUGACGAAGAAAUUCCUCGGGAGAAUAUUGAUAAGGUGAGUGAAGAAAAGUAGUUUGGAAAAACCACUGCAGUUUUAUAUAGGGACAGACAACAAAGAAUGUGUUAUGCGUGAAGAUCUGAAGGCUGUUUUCCAAAAGUAUGGAACCAUAAAGGUGCUAGUAUCAAUCUUCUUGUUCAUGUUGCUUGUAGGUGUGUUGUUCUUGACUUAUCAAAAAAAAAAACAAAGAAGUUGACAAUGAACGAGAUAAGUGGAAAAAGGGGAAUUCUGUGCAGACAUUCUUUAGAGAAAGUUCCCCUUUUCUAUGGCAACUCUCGGUCAAGGACUCAAGGUAGUGGCUGGAAAUGUUUAUCCUGAUAAUAUCCUUUUGACAAACUGUCCUCCUUCAAAACUUUAAAGAAAUAAUCUUGCAGCAAUUCAUAGCCAGGUAGAGGAUAUGGGUCUUUCAUUUGAAGCAUGUAUCGCAAGAUGUGUAGAUUCCAUGAUUUGAUUAUGAUUAUAAUGUUUGAUUACUACAUUGGAGGGCUGGGCAAUGAAAACCCACCAUUAAGGAUUUUUUUCCCCUUAGUUGAGAAAUAUCGUGUCUGUAAGACUACAGGUGUAUUAAGGGACAUCAAUGCGAAGGAUGUUUUCCGUAA